GAUGAACGCUGGCGGCGUGCCUAAUACAUGCAAGUCGAGCGAACGGACGAGAAGCUUGCUUCUCUGAUGUUAGCGGCGGACGGGUGAGUAACACGUGGAUAACCUACCUAUAAGACUGGGAUAACUUCGGGAAACCGGAGCUAAUACCGGAUAAUAUUUUGAACCGCAUGGUUCAAAAGUGAAAGACGGUCUUGCUGUCACUUAUAGAUGGAUCCGCGCUGCAUUAGCUAGUUGGUAAGGUAACGGCUUACCAAGGCAACGAUGCAUAGCCGACCUGAGAGGGUGAUCGGCCACACUGGAACUGAGACACGGUCCAGACUCCUACGGGAGGCAGCAGUAGGGAAUCUUCCGCAAUGGGCGAAAGCCUGACGGAGCAACGCCGCGUGAGUGAUGAAGGCCUUCGGAUCGUAAAACUCUGUUAUUAGGGAAGGACAUAUGUGUAAGUAACUGUGCACAUCUUGACGGUACCUAAUCAGAAAGCCACGGCUAACUACGUG
rnacentral:rRNA from 1 species